UCCUUAGUAGCUCAGUGGCAGAGCAUUCGGCUGUUAACCGAUUGGUCGUAGGUUCAAAUCCUACCUGGGGAG
rnacentral:tRNA from 1 species